rnacentral:rRNA from 1 species
GAUGAACGCUGGCGGCGUGCCUAAUACAUGCAAGUCGAGCGAACGGACGAGAAGCUUGCUUCUCUGAUGUUAGCGGCGGACGGGGGAGUAACACGUGGAUAACCUACCUAUAAGACUGGGAUAACAUCGGGAAACCGGAGCUAAUACCGGAUAAUAUUUUGAACCGCAUGGUUCAAAAGUGAAAGACGGUCUUGCUGUCACUUAUAGAUGGAUCCGCGCUGCAUUAGCUAGUUGGUAAGGUAACGGCUUACCAAGGCAACGAUGCAUAGCCGACCUGAGAGGGUGAUCGGCCACACUGGAACUGAGACACGGUCCAGCCUCCUACGGGAGGCGGCAGUAGGGAAUCUUCCGGAAUGGGCGGAAGCCGGACGGAGCAACGCCGCGUGAGUGAUGAAGGUCUUCGGAUCGUAAAACUCUGUUAUUAGGGAAGAACAUAUGUGUAAGUAACUGUGCACAUCUUGACGGUACCUAAUCAGAAAGCCACGGCUAACUACGUG